CAGGCGCCCGCCACCACGCCUGGCCAAUUUUUUUGUAUUUUUUUAGUAGAGACGGGGUUUCACCGUGUUAGCCAGGAUAGUCUUGAUCUUCUGACCUCGUGAGCCGCCUGUCUCAGCCUCCCAAAGGGCUGGGAUUACAGGCGUGAGCCACCGCGCCCGGCCGAUUUACCACUCUUGAUGUUCACCACCUGGCUGAGAAUGUUAGAAACCAAGAUCAAGAGCUUGAUGUGCUUGUUGAUACUGGAGUGUCAUUGAUUCUUGGCCCUGUCAACUGACCAGAUCAAGGAACUACAUGUGUAUAAGCUAAGGAACACUUGACUGGUAAGAGGAAGAAAAGCCUCAAGAGAACAUGCAUACAACUCCAGUAAAUGCCUGUGCAUAUGCCCCCACAACAAGCACUAGCAGGCCACUGUGCAUGAGGACAGCCCAUCCCAAGGGAAGAAUCGGAAGAAGUAACACAAGACCCCUGAAGCAUGCCAAACCCUAAGGGAAAGUCAACCUGUGCACUUGAUCUUUCAAGUUGCCUGCUUGGCCCUCUUCGAAGUGCACUUUACUUCCUUUCAUUUGUGAACCCCCAAGUAUCUGAGACAGGUCUCAGUUAAUUUAGAAAGUUUAUUUUGCCAAGGUUGAGGGUGUGCGCCCGUUACACAGCCUCAGGAGGUCCUGACAACAUGUGCCCAAGCGGGUCAGAACACAGUUUGGUUUUUAUACAUUUUAGGGAGACAUGAGACAUCAAUCCACAUAUAUAAGAUGAAUAUUGGUUCUAUCCAGAAAAAGCGGGACAAUUCAACGCAAAGGCGGGACUACUUGAAGCGGGAGGGGGCUUCCAGGUCAUAGGUAGAUAAGAGAAAAUUGUAUUCUUUUGAGUUUCUGAUUAGCCUUUCCAAAGGAGGCAAUCAGAUAUGCAUUUAUCUCAGUGAGUAGAGGGGUGACUUUGAAUAGAACGGGAGGCAGGUUGGCUCUAAGCAGUUCCCAGCUUGACUUUUCCCUUUAGCUUAGUGAUUUGGGGGGCCCCAAGAUUCAUUUUCCUUUCACACAUUCCUGUUCUAAAGCUUUUUAAUAAACCUUCACUUCUGCUCUAAAAC
rnacentral:lncRNA from 1 species